rnacentral:snoRNA from 1 species
AAGACUGUACUUUCAGGGAUCAUUUCUAUAGUUUGUUACUGCUUCCUUCUAUGGUAUCUAAAUACAAACUUCUGUAAGAGCAGGAAUUUUUCCUGUUUUAGCAAGCUUUAGUCCCAAGAAUAGCAGACAGUAGUUUGCACAUACCUUUUAAAAAUGAAUAAGGGAUAUUUUCUAA